rnacentral:rRNA from 1 species
GACGAACGCUGGCGGCAUGCUUAACACAUGCAAGUCGAACGGAAAGGCCCUGCUUUUUUGGGGUUCUCGAGUGGCGAACGGGUGAGUAACACGUGAGUAACCUGCCCUUGACUUUGGGAUAACUUCAGGAAACUGGGGCUAAUACAGUAUAGGAGCUCCUGCUGCAUGGUGGGGGUUGGAAAGUUUCGGCUGUAGUGGCUGGACUGGCGGCUUAUCAGCUUGUUGGUGGGGUAGUGGUUUACCAAGGGUUUGACGGGUAGCCGGCCGGAGAGCGUGACCGGGCACCUUGCGACUGCGGUACGGCGCAGACUCGUAUGGUAGGCAGUAGUCGGGAGUCUUGCACAACGGGAGCACGUCUGAGGAAGAAACGCUGGGUGCGGGAAGACGGUUUUUGGGUUGUGAACCGCUUUAGCUUGUGACGAAGCGUGAGUGACGGUAACGGGUAAAGAAGCACCGGCUAACUACGUG